rnacentral:lncRNA from 1 species
GUUCAUGCACAUCAUGACGUGUGUGACAGGCACCAGGGUGGGGGGCCUCUCCCCAAGGCUAACCCCCAGCCUCUCUCGUAUCUGCAGCAACAGAAUUGGCUGAGUAAUGUGGAAUGUGGCCAGGAGACCAGCCAGAUGCAGAGCCCAGUGAGCCCUGCCCUGCGUCUCUGUGCAGGGUGUGUGAUGUGUGGGUGAGUGGGUCUGAUGUGAAAGGCCUCUCCUGCACCCUCCAGGAUGCUCACCCUUGGUUGGGAAACAGCCAGACUGUGAGAACAAGACUGUGGGUGCUGGGCUCCUAGGUUACACGGAGGCCGCCCCUGACUAGGGUGGGAGCAUGGCAGGGGUGUGGGGGGAGCCAGUGCCCCAAGACAGGAGCUACACGUCCAUCUGGGUGUGAGUGGGCUUCAAGUGUGAAGGGUCUGGACUAGCAGGAAGGUGACUGGCAUGCUAAAGGCCACUGUCCUUGCCCUGGGAGAUGGGCAGCCCCACCUGAAGGCCCACGUGUGGAUCGUCACCACCCUCAAGUCAUGGCCGGACUAACAGAAACUAUUUGCUGGCAGCCUCCUGCCCUUGAUUUUAUCACAAGGAGAGGUGAGGCCACGACCCCCACCCAGGCAUCACCUCCUCCAGGAAGCAUUCCCUCACUCCUCCAGAUGGGGCAGUCCCUCCUUUGGGUUUCCAAGCCCUUUUCUACUCCCUCAUGCAGUAGACUGUAACAGAUAAGAGCUCUGGUCCACACAGUCCUGGGUUCAAACUCCAGUUCCACCUCACCUGGCUGUGUGACCCUUUUGCAAGCCUCAACUCCCUAUGCAUGGAAGGAGCCGCAAACCCCAGCUCUAAGGGUGGUGAUGAGGAUCACGGCGGCGUCUGGGGCCUGACAGGUGUCCAAUGCCUGUUACUGCUGUCAUUACCACUAUUAAUUGUUACAGCAGUUACUGCCCUGCAUCUGAAGCAGUUUACAACUCUCCUACCUGUAAUGUGGGCUCCUGGAGAGCACAACAACGGCUAAAUUGUUGCCAGACCUGGCACUGAGGUGUGGCUAAUAAAUGCUUAAAUUUUUUUUUUUUUUGAGACAGGGUCUCACUAUGUUGCCCAGGCUGGUCCCAAACUCCUGGCCUCAAGUAAUCCUUCAGCCUCAGCCUCCCAGAUUGAUGGAAUUACAGGUAUAAGCCACCAUGCCCCACCUAAUAAAUGAUUUUAAUGAGAAAAUGCAUCUAUGAGAGUGCAUGUGCAUGAGUGCAUUUAGAUCCCAUUUCACACUCAGAACCGCCCAAUGCAGGAUAAACCCCCAUGUGAUAGGCACUGCUGCCAUCCCAUCUCAUGUGCUUGCUGAGAGUAGACACCCAAGCCCCAGAAGCCUUGCUGACCCCUGCCAUGCACGUCCCUGGCUGAAGAGCUACUCUUGGCUGGAGGCAUACCUCCCUGGUUUCCAAGCCCCCGAGAGCUUGAGCUUACCUUGCCCUGAAAGAAGGAAAAGGGGAUGCUCUUUAAGGUCAUGGUCUGAAGCCAGAGAUGAGGAUCCCAGGCAACCCGAGGGCCUGGAGAAAAUGCAGACCUUUCUGAUAGAAAUGCCAUGCCCCACUGUGGUCUAAAUGUUUGUGUCCCCCCAAAUUCAAAUGCAGAAAUCCUCUUCCCAAAGGUGCUGGUGUUGGGAGGCAGGGCCUUUGGGAGGUGAUGAGGCCAUGGGUGUGGAGCCCUCACGAAUGAGAUUAGUGCCCUUAUACAAGAGGCCCCAGAGAGACCCUUGCUCCUCCCACCACAUGAGGUGGCAUUGUCUAUGUGAGAAGGCACCGUCUUUGAACCAGGAAGCAGAACCUCACCAGACACCGAAUCAGUCAGUGCCUUGACCUUGGACUUCCUGACCUGCAGCCUGUGGGAAAUUUCUGUUGUUUAUAAGUCACUCAGUUUAUGGUAUUUUUGUUUUUGUUUUUGUUUUUGUUUUGAGACGGAGUCUUGCUCUGUAGCCCAGGCUGGAGUGCAGUGGUGCAAUCUCGGCUCACUGCAAGCUCCACCUCCCCGGUUCACGCCAUUCUCCUGCCUCAGCCUCCCGAGUAGCUGCGACUACAGGUGCCUGCCACCACGCCCGGCUAAUUUUUUGUAUUUUUAGUAGAGACGGGGUUUCACUGUGUUAGCCAGGAUGGCCUCGAUCUUGUGACCUUGUGAUCCAUCCGCCUCGGCCUCCCAAAGGGCUGGGAUUACAGGCGUGAGCCACCGCGCCCGGCCUGGUAUUUUUGUUAUAGUGGCCUGAAUGGACUAAGACACCACACAGACAGGGCAACAUAAGUGAUGAACGCUCACUUAUUAUUUUUUUUCUCUCAUCUUCUAGACAGGAACGCAAAAAGGCAGGCCACUUUAUGAACAGCAGCACACAAUACAUUUUUUACUGGCCUUAACUUUUCGUGUUGCUGUAGAGACCCAAUCAUCCAUAAAGAGCUCCACAAACAUGAGACAUUGCUAUUGCCAUAUUUAAGCCAUGGGCUCUAGAAACCCCUGAAGUUAUAUAUAAAAUUUUAUGAGUGUGUACAUUUUUUGGGGGGAGAAAAGUUUUUAUCAAAUUCCCCAAAAGGUUAAGAAACACUGAAAAGAAAAAAAGUCCUUUGACCCAGAAGGAUACUUUGACCCAGAAGGAUACCAAAAUAAAAACAGCACAUCCUUAUCUGUUGUUCUGAACCUUCCCAUGCUCACACCUCUGCCUUGUGCGCCAUCCUCCCUCCACCUGCCCGUACCUCGCAGACAGCAUCAGGCAGGACUCGGAAGUCUCAAUCUUUAGAGCGUAGGGCACUUUCUCCAUCACAGGGCGGCUGACCUGGAAAACCAACAGCAGCCUCCUUCAGGGUGGGGCAGGGAGGGGCAAGUGUAGACCGGCUUCUCCUGGCAGCAGAUGAACAGAGGGACCAUGUCCACCUACUGCCGUUCUCUAGCCUCAGGGCAUACCUUUCUGUGAUGGUAGGUGCUGUGGAAGGUGCCUGGCUGCCAGCUCCAUCAUUCUUGGCCACUCACCCACCGCUGGGAAGGCUGCAGAGCGUCAUGCUCAGGGCCCAGCCCGGGCAACCCCAGGUGCACUGUCAUGUUGGACAAGUACCUGCCAGUGACCACGUCUCCCAUGCCUUUUUCUAACAGGCUCCUCGGUGGAGCCUUUGGUUCCAAAAGGGAACAAACCUCCAUGCUGAGAAAGGUGCUUCCUCCUUCCCCUUCCCCAUGGUAAAGAGCCUACAGGAUCAAGAGAGAUUGCACAGUGCCUCUCUCAGCUCUCCUGGCCAUCCCUGCCUCUGCCCUUGACAAUGACAACCGCCUGCGGCUCCACUGUCCCACCUCAGUGUUGCCCUCUCUAACUUCAGCCUCCUGUUGCACCAGAAUUAACUUCCUAAAACCUCCUGCUCCUCAAAGUCCCCAACAGCUCCCAAGUGUUCCCAUCUUCAGGACCAAGUUACACGGAGCUAAGCCCCACACAUAUGCCCAUAUUCACAGCAGUAUUACUCACAACAGCCUAAAGGUGGAAGCCACCAGUGUCCAUCGGCAGAGGAUUGAAUAAACACCAUGUGGUCUAUCCACACAAUGGAAGGAAAAUUCUGACCCAUACUACAGAUGACAGGGAUCAACCUUGAGGACACUGUGCUAAGUGAAACAAGGAUCAAUACUGUGUGACUCCUCAUUCGAGGUACCCAUAGUAGUCAAAUUCAUGGACAUAGAAAGUAGAAUGGUAGGUGCCAGGGGCUGAGAAGGAGGGGAAUGGAGAGUUGGUUUUUAAUGUGGGCAGAGUUUCAGUCUGGGGAGAGGAAAGAGUUCUGAGAUGGAUGGUGGUGCUGGAUACACAGCAAUG